rnacentral:rRNA from 1 species
UACGAAGGGGGCUAGCGUUGCUCGGAAUGACUGGGCGUAAAGCGCACGUAGGCGGCUUGUUAAGUCAGGGGUGAAAUCCUGGAGCUCAACUCCAGAACUGCCUUUGAUACUGGCGAGCUUGAGUCCGGGAGAGGUGAGUGGAACUGCGAGUGUAGAGGUGAAAUUCGUAGAUAUUCGCAAGAACACCAGUGGCGAAGGCGGCUCACUGGCCCGGUACUGACGCUGAGGUGCGAAAGCGUGGGGAGCAAACAGG